UAAGGAAAAUUAUCUCUAAAGCCCUCUGUUUAUCAUAAUUUAUCAGUUUGGUGAGAAAACUCCCAACAGGAAGGGUUGGUGCUGCAGGAAUAUUGCUCUGAGCAGGAGCAGGAGACAUUCCAUCACUUCAUGCUGGCAGCUGUGUGUGCUGGAGCCUCGCUUUUCUUGGAGCCCUGGAGAAAAAGCUCAAGUCUUUCAAGUCUUUAUUUUGUGGAUUCAGAAUCCUUUUUAUUUUCCUUCUUUUUUUUUUUUUUUUUAUUUUUUUGUGGUUAAAAUUUGUGAGCCUUUUGUUUUUUUUGAAUUUUGGAUUUUUUUUUCUCCCAAAUGCUUUGGUGGAACCCUUCAGCUGGCAGUUUCUGUGCAUAGAUUUGUUAGCAGCCAGCAGACCAGGCUGAUGAAGGGCCUGGAAGGUGAGCAUAUAAACCCCAAAAAGCUGGUCCAGCCAAUGCCUGGGAAAUGAAUGUCAGUGAUAAUAAAAUAGAUAUCAUUGCCAAAAAAGCUUUUUUUUUUAACAACUGUUCAAUAAAAGACUUUAAAUGAUCAGUAUCAGCUAGUGGAGGCAUUGGAAAGGAGUCACAGUGAACUGACAGUCUACAUCGAUUGUUUUAACAUUCAAGACAAAGGUGCAGAAAGGAGAGACCCAGACAAUGACAUGGAUACAGCCAGAAAAUCCAAGAGGGAAGGUAAAUAGCACAGAGACUGCAAAGACAAGCACUGAAGAUACACAGGAUUUUCUAGUGAUGAUAAAAGGGAGAAAGUUUUUAAGAGUGUUGCUUCAAGAGCUCAGUUUUUAUUACCCAAGAUUUAAAAAAAAAAAUUGGAUAAACUUUUCCUCGUGCCUCAGGAUUAAAAUCCACAGGAUGCAAGAUGCAGAGUCCACCUCAGUGAAAGGUUUGAGACUGCAAAGGUUUGAGAUUCUGUGCAAGUUUGGAAUGUAAAUGGAGCUGUUUCCAAAUGGGACAGCUGAACUUUCCUCAUCAUGUGUAAACUCUCCAAGAAUCAUGCAGUGGGUUGGAUUGAGGUUGAUCCCUUGUGAAAAUAAUGGGCUGCAUAAUUUGCCUAAUCCAAACCUACCCAUGAGAAGAGUCUCAGCUGCCAACUCCUCUUCUGAUAUCAAUAUAAUUUAAGGCGAUAUAAAACACAGGCAGGGUGUCGGCAGGGUGUUCAGGAGAACAAAACUUUCCUGCUCUAAGUAUGGAAUCUGACUCUGGGACUGUCAUCUUCAGUUGCUUUUGCCAUAUCUGUAUACCCAUUUCUUCUCAUGGAUAUUUGUUCUUGGGUUUUUUUUUCCUCUCCCUUCCUCUCUCUGUCCCUAUGAAGACUUCCAUGUGCUGACUUACAAAUAUCUGUGAACAAUUAGGAAUGUAAAAUCAGCAGUGGGAUAGUCACUGUCCUUUCUUAUUUCACUCUCAGUUUUCCAGUGUGUUGAAUAACUGUUUGAACCCUUAGAAGUACUUUAUAGUUUUGCUUUUUUUUUCCCCCCAUGUAUACCAGUUAAAGGACACUGUGAAUCCCAUGCAUAACUUCUAUCAGUGAGGAAGUCCACACUGGAUUCUCUUGUUGUAGGAGACUAAUGGAUUUGCAGCCCAUUCAUAAAGGAGAAACAGUGAGGAAUUCCAUGGCUCUUUGCUUCAUGUAAAUCCAAUUUCUGCAAUCUGUUGAAAUUUUCUUUAGUUCUCUUGAAACAAGAGUCAUUACCCUUCCCUUCCCUUCCCUUCCCUUCCCUUCCCUUCCCUUCCCUUCCCUUCCCUUCCCUUCCCUGUUGGAUAUCCCAAAUAUCCUUUUUCCAUGGAGUAGCUGUUACCCACGGACAAACCACCACUGAGAUUUGUCCAAAGCACCAGGAUUUGGUGGAAUAUUUUCUAUUCCCUUGAGCACUGUGAGUGGAAGGGCAGGACAGGCUGGGCCCCAGCUGGCAGCACCAGCACAGGACGGGGAUUUUGUGCUCUCUGGGCUGUGUGGGCAACCCUGCAUAGCUUAAACUCUAGGGAUUGCUACCAAAUGUAGGAAGGGCACAGAUUAAUGCUGUCUUCAGCUGAUUAACCAUUCUCUGAUAGAGUUUUUGCUGUGUUUGUGAAACAGUCUUUGGCUAAUACGCCAUUAAUUUUUAAGUAUGGUUUCCAAUAUGAAAUAUUUUUAUUUUGGCUAUUCAUUUUUAAUGACUCCACAAUGCGAUUCAGCAAAACUAUACAAAGCAAACCAAUAAAAAUAUGAUGCUAUUAACA
ensembl:lncRNA